GGGAAUAUGACUUAGUGGUAGAGUGCUUGCCUAGCAUGCAUGAAGUUCUAGUUCAAUUCCUAGGUACCA
rnacentral:tRNA from 1 species